GACGAACCGUACGAACGUUAUUCGGAAUUACUGGGCUUAAAGGGUGCGUAGGCGGCGCAGUAAGUUGGGUGUGAAAUCCCUCGGCUUAACCGAGGAAUUGCGCCCAAAACUACUGUGCUCGAGGGAGAUAGAGGUGAGCGGAACUUAGGGUGGAGCGGUGAAAUGCGUUGAUAUCCUAAGGAACACCGGUGGCGAAAGCGGCUCACUGGAUCUCCUCUGACGCUGAGGCACGAAAGCUAGGGUAGCAAACGGG
rnacentral:rRNA from 1 species